rnacentral:lncRNA from 10 species
AAGCAAGAGAGGUCCGGGGACAAUAUGGCCUUCCAAAGGACCCAGAACCAGUGAGGGGAAGGCUGACAUUCAACUCCAGAUUGGUUUUUGUUUUCAUUUUUCUCUUCCUCUUGAAUGCUGAGACUGGUCCUGCAUCUGUGAUGUAUGGAAGAGGGAUUCAGUUGGCUUUGCUAAGCAGUGUUUUCCUCUCCCCCGCCCUUCUUCCCUUCUUUUCAGAUUUAAUGAAUUUCUGGCCUUCUUUGAAGGUUUUCUGGGUCACAUGCUUUCUAGUUGCUAUUGUGGAAUAGUAAAUGAGGCCUAGUUUUGCUUGUGGCAGAUCCUGCUCUCUGGACACAGAGUUCCUGGUGGAGCAGUCUAAUCUGGGUUGCUGGGUUGGUCGAUGGUCCCCCAGACUGACCCUUCUGUCCCUGGGGUUGUCAGGGAUUUUCUUGGCUGCAGAUUCCUGCCCCAGUGGAGGCAGCUCUGAGCAGGCAAGCAGGAGCUAGCAGGCCUGUGCAUUCUCUGAAUGGCCAGAAGGGUCCUUUUGAAGGUUUUUCUUUAUUUUCCUGAGUGUGGCCACCAGUGGAGUGUCCUGGAGAGCCCCAGGGGUGCAGUUCAGCAGCAGGACAGUCAGUCCCCCAUCGGCAUGGAGAUGGAGUGUUCUGUGUGUGGAUUGACCCUCUGGCGUCGUUGUUCCUGUUCAAACAUUGCCUGUUUCUCUAAGGGGAAACAUGAGCAUUGGCGUUUCCUUUCUGGGUUGGAGGUGGAGAAUUUCAUCCCCACCCUACUCUGCGGAUUCAUUCCGUUUUAGUUGUCUGGCUUUGCCCGGGGCAGAGGCUGCUGACUGGUGAAAGCACCCUCUGAAAGCAAGUUUUUUGUUUUCUACUGUCCUCUGACCUUGGGACGGGCUAUGAUAGUCCUCAAAACCCUCACAAGCAUGGUUUCCAUGAGAGCCUUGCAACAUUCCCUUGAGCCGGGCAGGGCAGGCAGCCAUGUGGACAUUUUAGAGAUGAGGAAAGUGGGGCUGUGGCCAGACUCUUUGCGGCCAGACUCUUUCUGGCCAGGUUGUUCCACCUGGCUCUCCGGCUCGAGUCUGUCCAGCUUUCAGUCCUGCUGGUCUGUCUGCAUAGGGGCUGCUUCUAGAAGACCAGGCGAGAGGAUGUGGGUAUGAGGGAGGAGCUGAGGCGCACAGGAAGAGCAGAUGGCCUGUCUCUCUCCAGUAUCUGCUAGUCACUACCUGGAAACCAGCAAUGAUGAUGUAACCACAAGCAUUAUUCAGUGAUGGCCGCCUUCCUUGUGUGGGUGGGACCGCAACACCGCCUGGGCUGGGGAAUCCCAUUGGUGACAACACAGCAUCCUUUUGAGCUGACGCGGCAACAGAUGCCCCAGACCAGCUCUGCGUCUGACAGCAUCUCUGUGAAGCGUGUGCAGGGGACAGCAGACAUCAGAGCUCUCCUGUAAAUCACCUCCGCAAAGGCUCUUUGUGGUCGAUUCACUGAUGACUCAUUUAUAAUCUGGUUUCAACAUUGUGAGUCAAAAUGCACCACUUUCAUUAAAAAUAACAUUCACUGGGGUCUAACGGCUUUCUUUUUUCUGUUUUUUACUGUACUGUGUGGUUUCUGGAUGGGAAGCUGUCAGAUGGCAGGCGAGGUGUUCCGAGGGACUUGAGCAUAAUCGUGCAACGACUCAGUGUACAAGGGUUUAAAUGAAGAUUUUGAGAUGAGAAAAUUAUCCUGGAUUAUUCAGGUGGGUCCUAAAUACCAUCACAAGUGUCCUUACAAGGAAGAGGCAGCAGGAGAUGGGACACACAGUAAAGGUGAUAAUGAAGAUGGAGGUGGAGAUUGGAGGGAUGCGGCCACAAGCCAAUGAAUGCCUGCAGCUACCAGAAGCCACAGAGAGCUCCGCUAGAGCCUCUGGAGGGAGCUUGGCCCUGUCAACACCUUGAUUUGAACCCAGUGAAACAAAUUUCCAACUUCUGUCCUCCUGGACUGUGAAGUAAUAAAUUUCUGUUUUUUUAAGCUACC